rnacentral:rRNA from 1 species
CCUACGGGAGGCAGCAGUGGGGAAUAUUGCACAAUGGGCGCAAGCCUGAUGCAGCGACGCCGCGUGAGGGAUGACGGCCUUCGGGUUGUAAACCUCUUUCAGUAGGGAAGAAGCGAAAGUGACGGUACCUGCAGAAGAAGCGCCGGCUAACUACGUGCCAGCAGCCGCGGUAAUACGUAGGGCGCAAGCGUUAUCCGGAAUUAUUGGGCGUAAAGAGCUCGUAGGCGGUUUGUCGCGUCUGCCGUGAAAGUCCGGGGCUCAACUCCGGAUCUGCGGUGGGUACGGGCAGACUAGAGUGAUGUAGGGGAGACUGGAAUUCCUGGUGUAGCGGUGAAAUGCGCAGAUAUCAGGAGGAACACCGAUGGCGAAGGCAGGUCUCUGGGCAUUAACUGACGCUGAGGAGCGAAAGCAUGGGGAGCGAACAGGAUUAGAUACCCUGGUAGUCCAUGCCGUAAACGUUGGGCACUAGGUGUGGGGGACAUUCCACGUUUUCCGCGCCGUAGCUAACGCAUUAAGUGCCCCGCCUGGGGAGUACGGCCGCAAGGCUAAACUCAAAGGAAUUGACGG